CCUACGGGGGGCUGCAGUGGGGAAUAUUGGACAAUGGGGGGAACCCUGAUCCAGCCAUGCCGCGUGUGUGAAGAAGGCCCUCGGGUUGUAAAGCACUUUCAGUGAGGAAGAACGCCUGGUGGUUAAUACCCAUCAGGAAAGACAUCACUCACAGAAGAAGCACCGGCUAACUCCGUGCCAGCAGCCGCGGUAAUACGGAGGGUGCGAGCGUUAAUCGGAAUUACUGGGCGUAAAGCGCGCGUAGGUGGCUUGAUAAGCCGGUUGUGAAAGCCCCGGGCUCAACCUGGGAACGGCAUCCGGAACUGGCAAGCUAGAGUGCAGGAGAGGAAGGUGGAAUUCCCGGUGUAGCGGUGAAAUGCGUAGAGAUUGGGAGGAAUACCAGUGGCGAAGGCGGCCUUCUGGACUAACACUGACACUGAGGUGCGAAAGCGUGGGUAGCAAACAGGAUUAGAUACCCUAGUAGUC
rnacentral:rRNA from 1 species